rnacentral:lncRNA from 1 species
GGGGGUUCAAGGUAACACUUAAGUGUUAAGUAUACAGAGAGGGAGGACUGGGGGCUGGGAGGACCAUAAAGGAACUGCCUUGAGUUUGGUUAACUCUAGCCAUUUCCCUGGUCACUUAGCCAGGGACUCUACCCAAGGAGGAAGGGCUGGAGCCAUCUUUUGCACCUUACCUACUGCUCCAGGUGCCAGCCCCUCCUUACAUGGGCUAUUUAUGCCUCUGGAGUCCUGGAAGGAAUGUUAGUAUUAAUACUACAAACAGGGAAAUGUAAGAGCUUGAGGGUUAUGUAACUUAUGACAAAAAGCAGAAUGGAGUCCGUUAAACUUUUGCCCUAUCACCAUGCCUUGGCUCAUCUUAACAUCUGAAGUCCUCAACUCAAGAACGCUGCUGUCUUGGGGCCCGACAGACUGAUGCAGUGAUAUCAGUCAGUGCUAGACUCUUUGCUAGGUACUCUCAAGCAUUCAGCUUAGAACUCCACAGCAACCCCACCAAGGAGGGACUUGGGUUUUUUCCAUGUUUCAGAGUGGGAAACAGGCACAGGACUCAAUCAUGUGCCCAAGGGAUUGAAACCAGGCCAUCUACUAAACCUGCCCUAGAUGGUCUCUGAACUGGCCUGGCGGUCAACAAACUAGCCAUUCGUGAGAACGGGUAUUAGUCCAGUGGAAUACCCAUGUUAAGUCUCCAUAUUUAGAUUUGGAGAGGACAGCAGUUUCCUUG